GCCGCAGAGCCUACUGGGAACGUGUG
rnacentral:piRNA from 1 species